UACGUAGGUGGCAAGCGUUGUUCGGAAUAACUGGGCGUAAAGGAUGCGUAGGCGGUUAAACAAGUUAUAUGUUAAAUAUAUAGGCUUAACCUGUAGAAAGCAUAUAAAACUGUUUAACUAGAGUGCAGGAGAGGUAAGUGGAAUUCCUAGUGUAGCGGUGAGAUGCGUAGAGAUUAGGAAGAACACCAGUGGCGAAGGCGACUUACUGGACUGUAACUGACGCUGAGGCAUGAGAGCAUGGGGAGCAAACAGG
rnacentral:rRNA from 1 species